rnacentral:rRNA from 1 species
UACGUAGGGGGCGAGCGUUGUCCGGAUUUAUUGGGCGUAAAGCGCGCGUAGGCGGCCCGGUAAGUCCGUUGUGAAAGUCAAAGGCUCAACCUUUGAACGCCGAUGGAUACUGCCGGGCUAGAGUCCGGAAGAGGCGAGUGGAAUUCCUGGUGUAGCGGUGGAAUGCGCAGAUAUCAGGAGGAACACCAAUAGCGAAGGCAGACUCGCUGGGACGGUACUGAGCUGAGGCGCGAAAGCGUGGGGAGCGAACGG